CGAAAGGAGGCCAGAGACGUUCUGAGAGAUGCUGGAAUUUGCCACAGGGCUCGGGUGCAGCUGUACACCAAAAGGGGACAUCGCUGCGGGGAGAGAGACAGGAGCCCACUGCUGCUGACAGGGCUAAUUUCCUCCUGCCUACUAUUCCGAGUCAUGAGAUCAUGAGGAUCUGCUGCUGUAAAACACUCUGUAACACCUGGAAAAAAGUUACCGUGCUUUGAAGUCAUGUAGCACUCUUCAGGCGAGAAUCGCAAGGCACGCCGCAAACACUUGGAGCCAGAUCAAGGGAACGCUGCGAGUUCAACUCUAAUCCACAUUUUCUUCCUCCUGUGAAAUGAACUCAGAAUUACCAAGGCUUCUUGGUCCAGCUACAAGGGAGCUCUGGCCCAGGUAAAAA